UAGUCAUGAUGUAGGCAAGUUAGCAAUAAUUCUUUAAAACGCUCCCAACACUGAAAAAAAAUCUCAUUUUCUUUUUGAGAAAAAUUCAUAAUAUUUCUAUAAUGAGUCU